rnacentral:rRNA from 1 species
CCUGACUGCUAUCGGAUUGAUACUAAGCCAUGCGAGUCAUUGCAGUAAUGCAAGGCAGACGGCUCAGUAACGCGUAGUCAACCUACCCUAUGGACGGGAAUAACCUCGGGAAACUGAGUAUAAUGCCCGAUAGAACACUAUACCUGGAAUGGUUUGUGUUCCAAAUGAAUGUCGCCGUAGGAUGGGACUGCGGCCUAUCAGUUUGUUGGUGAGGUAAUGGCCCACCAAGACUAUUACAGGUACGGGCUCUGAGAGGAGUAGCCCGGAGAUGGGUACUGAGACACGGACCCAGGCCCUAUGGGGCGCAGCAGGCGAGAAAACUUUGCAAUGUGCGAAAGCACGACAAGGUUAAUCCGAGUGGUUUGUGCUAAACGAACCUUUUGACAGUCCUAGAAACACUGUUGAAUAAGGGGUGGGCAAGUUCUGGUGUCAGCCGCCGCGGUAAAACCAGCACCUCAAGUGGUCAGGAUGAUUAUUGGGCCUAAAGCAUCCGUAGCCGGCUCUGUAAGUUUUCGGUUAAAUCUGUACGCUCAACGUACAGGCUGCCGGGAAUACUGCAGAGCUAGGGAGUGGGAGAGGUAGACGGUACUCGGUAGGAAGGGGUAAAAUCCUUUGAUCUAUUGAUGACCACCUGUGGCGAAGGCGGUCUACCAGAACACGUCCGACGGUGAGGGAUGAAAGCUGGGGGAGCAAACCGGAUUAGAUACCCGGGUAGUCCCAGCUGUAACUAUGCAAACUCAGUGAUGCAUUGGCU